rnacentral:rRNA from 1 species
AUCGAACGCUGGCGGCAGGCUUAACACAUGCAAGUCGAGCGAGCGGCGGACGGGUGAGUAAUGUCUGGGAAACUGCCUGAUGGAGGGGGAUAACUCCUGGAAACGGUAGCUAAUACCGCAUACCAUCAGAUGUGCCCAGAUGGGAUUAGCUAGUAGGUGGGGUAACGGCUCACCUAGGCGCCGAUCCCUAGCUGGUCUGAGAGGAUGACCGGCCGCACUGGAACUGAGACCCGGUCCAACGUCCUACGGGAGGCAGCAGUGGGGAAUAUUGCACAAUGGGCGCAAGCCGGAUGCAGCCAUGCCGCUUGUGUGAAGAAGGCCUUCGGGUUUUAAAGCACUUUCAGCGGGGCGGCGUUACCCGCAGAAGAAGCACCGGCUAACUCCGUGCCAGCAGCCGCGGUAAUAC